UACGUAGGGUGCAAGCGUUGUCCGGAAUUAUUGGGCGCAAAGAGCUCGUAGGCGGUUUGUCGCGUCGAAUGUGAAAACCCGGGGCUCAACCCCGGGCCUGCAUUCGAUACGGGCAGACUAGAGUUCGGUAGGGGAGUCUGGAAUUCCUGGUGUAGCGGUGAAAUGCGCAGAUAUCAGGAGGAACACCGGUGGCGAAGGCGGGGCUCUGGGCCGAUACUGACGCUGAGGAGCGAAAGCGUGGGGAGCAAACAGG
rnacentral:rRNA from 1 species